GAUGAACGCUGGCGGCGUGCCUAAUACAUGCAAGUCGAGCGAACAGACGAGGAGCUUGCUCCUUUGACGUUAGCGGCGGACGGGUGAGUAACACGUGUAUAACCUACCUAUAAGACUGGGAUCACUUCGGGAAACCGGAGCUAAUACCGGAUAACAUGCUGAACCGCAUGGUUCAACAGUGAGAGACGGUCUUGCUGGCACGUAUAGAUGGAUCUGGGCCGCAUUAGCUAGUUGGUAGGGUAACGGCUUACCACGGCGACGAUGCGUAGCCGACCUGAGAGAGGGAUCGGCCGCACUGGAGCUGAACCGCGGUCCAGACUCCUACGGGAGGCAGCAGUCGGGAAUGUUCCGCAAUGGGCGGAAACCUGACGGAACAACGCCACGUGAGUGAAAGAAGUCUUCGGAUCGUAAAGCUCUGUUAUUAGUGAAAAACAACUGUGUAAGUAGCUAUACACGUAUUGACGGUACCUGAUCAGAAAGCAACGGCUAACUACGUG
rnacentral:rRNA from 1 species